AUAUUGAUUUUUAUGAACAUGGAAGUCGGCGCAUGUCGGUGACAAACUGAGUAGUAUGUUUGUUGUUGAUACUGCAUUGCACCGGACUUCAAAUCAAGCUGUUAAGCAGUAAACUGAUUUUUUCUGUUAGGCUCCUUGUUCCUGUGUGACUAAUCUGUAAAAGUGAAAGUGAAAGUUGCACACUGCUUCUUCAUCCUGCAGUCUGACUUGCAGUCUCCACGUUGCAACACAAAGAACCAGCAAUACAGCAAAGGAAGUCAAAAGAUGUUCUGCCUUUCCACACCCGUUAAAGUCGAGACAAUCACUGCCGGAGAAACCCAUGGCGCUGACAUAGCUCUCAUGGACCAAGUGAAAUUGGAGGUUAAGCUAGAGGGCACAAACCGGGAUGGACAAUGCAUCAUUCUCUUCUGUCCAAUCACCUCCCGCGUUGGCUCAGAUGUGGAAGCAGCCAUGCAAAACAUGCCAUCUAACAGAAGGAUCAUCCUAGUACUGAUGCACCAUACUCGAGAUGCUGACUACUCAACCGCUGGGAUGCGUUGGUCUGAAGUAUAUGCAAGCAUUGACCUGGAAGUUCAUGUUCUCUUUCAUGAAAGUGUGCCGGGAUUGCUCACAUGUCCUAAGAACACAGAGGCAGUCUAUCAAAUGCAAGAUUAUUUUAACCCAAAUGCAAGGAACCGUUGGUUUAAGCGUGUGUUGCUGUUGCUUUGUGUAUCAGUUCCAGUUGUAGCUGUGCCUCUGGGCCUGUUGAUCUACUUUAUGGAAAUAAAACAGUACAGAAACAUCACCAAUUAAGAAUUAGAGAGUCACACCCGGGACAGCUGUGUCAGGAGGGGAUAUCAGGUUAUAAUGCAAUGAUAAAUUCAUAAAAGAAGGCAACAAUUGUACUCGUUAUUUCUGAAGCCUAAAUUAUUGCACGAUUUCCUCCACUGUCUGAUUAAAGGUGCCUUCGCAAACAGGACAGACUGAAUAUUUGACCUCAGAAAGGAUUUUGUUGGUCAAUAAUGAUUCUGUUUACUCCUUCCCUACUCCCUACUCACGACCUAAUGACCCUUUACAGAUUGAGCAGACAUAGAGAAUGGAUGGAUGCAAUGUUUUCAUGCAAUUUACUGAACAUUAAUUUAUGCAGUUGUCUGCUUUAAAUGUGCAGCCAAAGUUUAAUUUGAAGCCCCGACCCUUUCAAUCUGUACGACCUGUUCUCAGUGGUUAAUAUGCAACCAGGGGCAUGCUCUGAUGGCGCGGGGUUAUUGAGUAAGACUCAUAUGCAGAGACUUUAGUCCUCCAUGCGGCUGACCUGGGUUCAAUUCUGGCCUGAGAUCCUUUACCGCAUGUCUUGCCCCCUUCUCAAACCCCCCUUUUUGUCAGCCUACUUUGUGAAAAACGAGCCACUAGUGCAGUAAAAACCCAGAAAAAAAGACACACCCAGUAUUCAGUGCUGUACAUAUAUCAACAGGUAAAUGUUUUGAAAAAUCAACAUUGGAAUUGCAUGUUUUGACUGCUGUGGUAAUUUGUAAUAGUCUAAUAACUUCUGGCUUGCAGUGGUUACUGCUUUGCUGGCUAUGCUUCUGGUUUUAUGCAUUGUGUAUAUUACAUAUUAUAUAUUAGUAUAUCAUGGUCUGAUUCUGAUUGGCUACACGGUGUCCGUUAAAAAGUGUUAGGACAACUAUAAAAACGGUCCAACGGUUACAAUGAAAGAUAUUAAACAGUUCUCUCAGCUGCUUGUUAUGAAAAAGGUAUGAUUUUUCAGGUAAAAAAAAAAACAUUAAAGCAUUAAUAUUUGAUUGAAUAUUUGUUCAUUUUGUGAGUGACAAUGAUAUAAGUGGGAUAAUGUCCUUUGAGAUGUCCAUUAUCAGAAAUGAAUGGACCAUAUGACAGUAAUCUCUGAUAAUGGACACCUUGUUGGGCAUCAUCCCUUACAUAUACUGUAUAUCUAUGCGCUGCGUAUUCUUUUAUAGGUAUAAUCAGAACUGUUACCUUACUUGGACUGUAUCUGUAAGCUCUAGAGCGCAACUGUAUUAAAUCUGGUUAAAUAAAGGUGCAAAUAAUCAAA